ensembl:lincRNA
CAUUCUAUUUCUGCGCAUAUUAAUUUUCUUUUAUUUUCUUUCCUUUUUUUCAUCUCUAGGGUUUCCAUGAUGGCUUCUGAAAAAGAAAAUAAAUAUUCUACACCAAUAUGAUAUUUAUCAUUUUAGCUGUGUCUUGUUCUGGAUGAAAUUAUUUCUAAAUGUGUUGAUAUAAUUUACUAUUUUUCACAUCAGUAUAGUUUCCUAAUUCAUUUCUAUAGUUGCCUGUAUCUUCUCUAAUGAACUGUUUGAUUUUCAUUCCUCUGGGGUGGUUUUCCUCUCACACACCUGAUCUUCCUUAGGGUUUCUCAGGGCUGACUCAGGAAUGAAAACUGAUGAGGGUAUUGCUGUAGCCGCUCCUGCCCUGCAGUGUCCACGCUCCCAAGCUUAGAAUCAGCUCCUUGUUGUGCCCGGCACAGCGGGGCCGUUGUGAGCCUCACACUCAUGGAUGAAAGAUGCCCAGUCCAACGAUAAUAAAGUGUGUGUGUGUGUUAUGCGCACCUGGGAAAGGUGGCUCAGAGCUGAGUGUGGCCUGAGUCACUGAGCUGAGCUAUUUCAGGGCCCGUCCACAAACACAGAAGAGAGGGAGCCACAGUCUCUCCAUGGUGGAACAGUUUCCUAAACUUCUUUCUUUGUUCUGAGAGAGAGAAAGACAAAGUGCCAUGACUGCUCUGUGGGCUGGACAGAUGCAUGUUUUCACCUGCAGGCUUGAAUCCAAGCUGAGGUCUUGAGCAUUCCCAGCUACUGAUAAAGCACCUUAGGUUAUUUCUAGAAAACACUGAAAAUUUAACCCUUUUGCUAAUGAUGUAGAAACAAGCCCUGCCCUGAACAAAAUUCCUGAAACUCUCAGGUUAAACUUCAUAACCCCAGUCCCUUCACUGCAGACACCCAAUAGGCAAGCCACAGUUCCAAGGAUGAGAUGACUCAUUUUUAAAAAGGGGAAGUUGAGAUGGGAACUAUUUGGUUGAAAGAAAACCUAAAAUCCAGCGCCAAGAAAGAAGUCAACUUUCCUUCCCCUGUUUCCCUGCAUUUCUCUUCUGUGCUCACGGCCACAGGCAGCUCAGCCUGGACCGCACAGACAGAUGUGAGAUGCAUCUCUGCUGAUCUGAGCCUGCCUGCAGCAUGGACCUGCAUCUUCCCUGAAGCAUUUCCAGGGCUGAAGAGACAACUGCCAGACACCGAGGGCUCAUCCAUCCGCAGAGCAGGGCGGUGGGAGGAGACGCCAUGACCCCCAUCCUCAUGGUCCUGAUCUAUGUCGGUGAGAUUUGAAGAGGGAGGGGAGAUUCUAACCUAGAAGGGACCUCACCCCACAGCCAAACUCUGGUCCAUGAGGAGACCCCAGGGCUCACAAAGAUCCCAGGGAGGGGAGGACCUGCUCAGGCUUCAGGGGCAAAGCUCUCACAGGGAACUCUCUUCCAGAGCUGAAUCUGGGCCCCAGGACCCAUGUGCAGGCAGGUGAGUCUGUCCCCAGCUGGCCCAGGUCCUUCUCCUCACUGGGGACAAGGCCCACCCCCGUGCAGCUGGGGAGGGGAAUAGCAGUUCUGGGCUGACUGAUGGGGGUCUGGAGGGUCCUGUGGCUGAGAGCUGACAUCUGUUGGGUUGGGUGGAAAUGACUUAGAAUCUGACCUCUGCUUUCCUGCCAGGGACCCUCCCCAAGCCCAUGCUUUGGGCUGAGCCAGGCUCUGUGAUCACCCAGGGGAGUCCC